rnacentral:rRNA from 1 species
UACGAAGGGGGCUAGCGUUGUUCGGAAUUACUGGGCGUAAAGGGCGCGUAGGCGGUACUUCAAGUCAGGCGUGAAAGCCCCGGGCUCAACCUGGGAACCGCGCUUGAGACUGGAGAACUAGAGUUCGGGAGAGGAUGGUGGAAUUCCCAGUGUAGAGGUGAAAUUCGUAGAUAUUGGGAAGAACACCGAUGGCGAAGGCAGCCAUCUGGACCGACACUGACGCUGAGGAGCGAAAGCGUGGGGAGCGAACAGG